UCUUGACCUUAGCUCAGUGGUAGAGCACAUGAUUUGCAAGCAAAAGGUUCCUGGUCCAAUCCCUGGCAACUCCAGGUAGAG